UACGUAGGGUGCGAGCGUUAAUCGGAAUUACUGGGCGUAAAGCGUGCGCAGGCGGUUUGGCAAGACAGAUGUGAAAUCCCCGGGCUUAACCUGGGAACGGCAUUUGUGACUGCACAGCUGGAGUGCGGCAGAGGGGGAUGGAAUUCCGCGUGUAGCAGUGAAAUGCGUAGAUAUGCGGAGGAACACCGAUGGCGAAGGCAAUCCCCUGGGCCUGCACUGACGCUCAUGCACGAAAGCGUGGGGAGCAAACAGG
rnacentral:rRNA from 1 species